UCAUCGUCAUCAAUCAUCAUCAUCGUCAUCAAUCAUCAUCA
rnacentral:snoRNA from 1 species